GAUAGGUUUUAACAAGAUAGAACUCUAGAUCCCUUGGGUCCAAAGACGCUAGAUUAUAAAAUCCUGAUGUGACUUGAUACUACGAAUAGAAUAUGUCUUAUGAUUUAAUACUACAAAUAGAAUGUCUUUUAAGUACAAACUUCAAUGAAUUGAUAAAGUGUAAGGAUAGUGUUUAAAGUUGCUUCAUGUGUAGAAGCUGAAUUACUUUAGUUUAUACACUGUAUAUUGUCGAGAUCACAUGUUGAUAUGACUUAAUACUAGCAACUUGCAAUAAGUGGUCUGUUCUGCUUGUUUAUAAUACUUUAGAGUUUGGACAUUAGAACAUUGUAAUUGCCUGACAGAGACUGUUAGGGCCUGUUUGUAUGGAAGCCGGGCUGGCCCGCUUAGCAAGACAGCCCGGUAAGGUAGGUAAGCAGGAUGAUUUCUCUUGUGUUUAUUU